AAAAAUUUAGUUAAAUUUAUAUAACAUUAACUUGUCAAGUUAAAAUUAUUUUAAAAAUAAUUUUUA
rnacentral:tRNA from 1 species